rnacentral:rRNA from 1 species
CUGCAGUCGAGCGACAGAUAAGGAGCUUGCUCCUUUGACGUUAGCGGCGGACGGGUGAGUAACACGUGGGUAACCUACCUAUAAGACUGGGAUAACUUCGGGAAACCGGAGCUAAUACCGGAUAACAUUUGGAACCGCAUGGUUCUAAAGUGAAAGAUGGUUUUGCUAUCACUUAUAGAUGGACCCGCGCCGUAUUAGCUAGUUGGUAAGGUAAUGGCUUACCAAGGCGACGAUACGUAGCCGACCUGAGAGGGUGAUCGGCCACACUGGAACUGAGACACGGUCCAGACUCCUACGGGAGGCAGCAGUAGGGAAUCUUCCGCAAUGGGCGAAAGCCUGACGGAGCAACGCCGCGUGAGUGAUGAAGGGUUUCGGCUCGUAAAACUCUGUUAUUAGGGAAGAACAAACGUGUAAGUAACUAUGCACGUCUUGACGGUACCUAAUCAGAAAGCCACGGCUAACUACGUGCCAGCAGCCGCGGUAAUACGUAGGUGGCAAGCGUUAUCCGGAAUUAUUGGGCGUAAAGCGCGCGUAGGCGGUUUCUUAAGUCUGAUGUGAAAGCCCACGGCUCAACCGUGGAGGGUCAUUGGAAACUGGGAAACUUGAGUGCAGAAGAGGAAAGUGGAAUUCCAUGUGUAGCGGUGAAAUGCGCAGAGAUAUGGAGGAACACCAGUGGCGAAGGCGACUUUCUGGUCUGUAACUGACGCUGAUGUGCGAAAGCGUGGGGAUCAAACAGGAUUAGAUACCCUGGUAGUCCACGCCGUAAACGAUGAGUGCUAAGUGUUAGGGGUUUCCGCCCCUUAGUGCUGCAGCUAACGCAUUAAGCACUCCGCCUGGGGAGUACGACCGCAAGGUUGAAACUCAAAGGAAUUGACGGGGACCCGCACAAGCGGUGGACAUGUGGUUUAAUUCAAGCACAAACCUUACCAAAACUCCUUUGAAACCUAGAGAUAACUUCCCCUUCGGGAAAGGACGGGGUGCAUGCGUCAGCCGAAUUGGUCCCACACUAGCUUGCCUAGCCUAGGUGCC